rnacentral:misc_RNA from 1 species
CGUUUGUUGAAAAAAUAUCAAACGAAAUUCUUUUCGCCAGAUAAAUUUGUUUGAACGUACUCGCGUCAUUCAUCGUUAAUAUAAAGUAUAUCUCGUAUUGUAUAUUGUCGCAUUAUUGUGAUUCAUUCGGACAUGCGUUCGCAGGUAAUAAAAAAGGAAGAACGGAAAAAAAUGGAUUUUUGUUUUUACCGACCGGGGCCGCGUCGAAAAAGUGACCUCAGACUUUUCGAAUCAAAGCUCCAUCGGUUGAAUUGGCUCGUAUUAUCUUCGGGCGUAUUAUACAUAGCGGGCUGACCUGACCUACUCAUUUCACUAUCCA